rnacentral:rRNA from 1 species
CCUACGGGUGGCUGCAGUGAGGAAUAUUGGUCAAUGGGCGCGAGCCUGAACCAGCCACGUCGCGUGAGGGAGGGCGGCCCUACGGGUUGUAACCCUCUUUUGCCGGGGAGCAACGGGCGUCACGUGUGGCGCCACUGAGAGUACCCGCAGACAAAGCAUCGGCUAACUCCGUGCCAGCAGCCGCGCUAAUACGGGGGAUGCGAUCGUUCUCCGGAUUUAUUGGGUUUAAGGGGGGCGUAGGCGGAUCUGUAAGUCAGUGGUAAAAUGGAGGGGCUCAACCCCUUCCCGCCAUUGAAACUGGCGCUCUUGAGUGGAAGAGAAGUAUGCGGAAUGCGUGGUGUAGCGGUGAAAUGCAUAGAUAUCACGCAGAACCCCGAUUGCGAAGGCAGCAUGCCGGCUUCCGACUGACGCUGAAGCACGAAAGCGUGGGGAUCGAACAGGAUUAGAUACCCCUGUAGUC